UAAUCUUCAAGAGAUACGUCUCCUUGGUCGAUCUUUUCUCAUGAUUCAUUUCGGGACACAUAAACAAGUAAAUUGCUUCACAUAAGAUAGCUACGAUAAAGAGCACUGCUUGCAUAAUCAUCUGAAGGAGAAUAUAAGUAGCAGGUACGUCGGUAGGACGCAGCAGAACGUCGCCGAACUUCAAUGAGUUGUUGAUAUUGUAACAUUCGUGAUCCGUUUGUGAUUUUCGAUUAAGAAAAUAACGUGUCGAUUCCGCUGAUCGAACGCUGAUCGAACGCUUCAUUGAACAUAACGACAUUGAAAAUGGUGAAGUUUUCCAUGAAAGUGCUACUCGCGCCGGCGUUGUUAAUCUUGAUCGUUUUAUCACCAGCGAUUUGUGAAGACGCGGAAGAUGGAGACUAUGAAGACUACGAUGAUCCAUGGGGUGGUGCAUGGAACAGUACAGAUUCUGGUUUACCGAAUAUAACUCAUACUGAUGGUCAUAUCAUAAAUUUUCCAGAUCUAUCACAAUGCCCAGAAAAUCAACGGCUAGAUAAAAAUGGAAAAUGUCGAAUAGUAGAAUAAUUUUAUUCGCUAAGGUGUAAAACUCGCUAAGCGUAAAUCGUUAAGCUAUUCAAGGAUAAUCGAGAAGAAUGACGGCAAACGAGCAAAAUGGGACGAAUAUUGAUAGUGUCCAAUAAUGCAACGAUAGCAAUUUUAUUAUUAUUAGAUUAUAAUUUUCUGUGUCUAUGUGAGAAACGUUUUAAACUGUCAAACUCGCAAUUAUGUAUAGCAAUGUUUGGCGAAUUGCAGUGAAAUACAUCGAUUCAAAGUCGCGUGAGAA